GGUUAUGGUUCAGCGGUAGUGCACUUGCCUGGCAUGCAUGAGGCACUGAGUUCAAGUCUCAGCACCA
rnacentral:tRNA from 1 species